AUUGAACGCUGGCGGCAUGCCUUACACAUGUAAGUCGAACGGCAGCACGGGUGCUUGCACCUGGUGGCGAGUGGCGAACGGGUGAGUAAUACAUCGGAACGUACCUUAUCGUGGGGGAUAACGCAGCGAAAGCUGUGCUAAUACCGCAUACGCCCUGAGGGGGAAAGCGGGGGAUCGCAAGACCUCGCGCGAUUAGAGCGGCCGAUGCCUGAUUAGCUUGUUGGUGGGGUAAAAGCCCACCAAGGCGACGAUCAGUAGCUGGUCUGAGAGGACGAUCAGCCACACUGGGACUGAGACACGGCCCAGGCUCCUACGGGAGGCAGCAGUGGGGAAUUUUGGACAAUGGGGGAAACCCUGAUCCAGCAAUGCCGCGUGAGUGAAGAAGGCCUUCGGGUUGUAAAGCUCUUUUGUCAGGGAAGAAACACCGGCUCUAACACAGUCCGGGAAUGACGGUACCUGAAGAAUAAGCACCGGCUAACUACGUGCCAGCCGCCGCCGUAA
rnacentral:rRNA from 1 species